rnacentral:rRNA from 1 species
UUAGUGGCGGACGGGUGAGUAACACGUGGGAACGUGCCCUUUGGUUCGGAACAACUCAGGGAAACUUGAGCUAAUACCGGAUGUGCCCUUCGGGGGAAAGAUUUAUCGCCAUUGGAGCGGCCCGCGUCUGAUUAGCUAGUUGGUGGGGUAAAGGCCCACCAAGGCGACGAUCAGUAGCUGGUCUGAGAGGAUGAUCAGCCACAUUGGGACUGAGACACGGCCCAAACUCCUACGGGAGGCAGCAGUGGGGAAUCUUGCGCAAUGGGCGAAAGCCUGACGCAGCCAUGCCGCGUGAAUGAUGAAGGUCUUAGGAUUGUAAAAUUCUUUCACCGGGGACGAUAAUGACGGUACCCGGAGAAGAAGCCCCGGCUAACUUCGUGCCAGCAGCCGCGGUAAUACGAAGGGGGCUAGCGUUGCUCGGAAUUACUGGGCGUAAAGGGAGCGUAGGCGG